UGUGUGGCUCAGUCGGUAGAGCAGCUGAUUCGUAAUCAGCAGGUCGGCGGUUCGAGUCCGCCCA
rnacentral:tRNA from 1 species